CCCUUAGAUGUUCUGGGCCGCACGCGUGCUGCACUGAGUGGAUCAGCGGGUCAGGUUGCGCGAAAGCGUUUCCUAAUCUUUAAAUCCGCUCGUGAUGGGGAUUGACGGUUGCAAUUUUCUGUCAUGAACGAGGAAUACCUUGUAAGCGCGGGUCAUCAUCCCGCGCUGAAUACGUCCCUGCCCUUUGUACACACCGCCCGUCGCUCCUACCGAUUGAGUGGUCCGGUGAGGCUUUGGGAUCUGAGCGGAAAGAGCGUUUCGCCGUUUCUGCUCGGAAAACUCAGUCGAACCUUAUCAUUUAGAGGAAGGAGAAGUCGUAACA
rnacentral:rRNA from 1 species